UCAGCCGCCGCGGUAAUACCAGCAGCCCAAGUGGUGGUCGCGUUUAUUGGGCCUAAAGCGCUCGUAGCCUGGCCGGUAAGUUCCCCGUGAAAUCGGGUCGCCCAACGAUUCGGCUUGCGGGGAAUACUGUCGGUCUUGGGCCGGGAGACGCCGAGGGUACUCCGGGGGUAGCGGUGAAAUGCUGUAAUCCUCGGGGGACUACCAGUGGCGAAGGCGCUCGGCGAUAACGGGCCUGACGGUGAGGGGCGAAAGCUGGGGGCGCGAACGGGAUUAGAUACCCCGGUAGUCCCAGCCGUAAAGGAUGCGGGCAAGGUGCUCGUCGCUCUUCGAGGGCGCCGGGUGCCGUAGAGAAGUCGUUAAGCCCGCCGCCUGGGAAGUACGGUCGCAAGGCUGAAACUUAAAGGAAU
rnacentral:rRNA from 1 species